GCCUUCAAAGGAGCCUUGUACACAAUCUCUAGGUGAGGAAUGACUUUGUAAUCCGAGGCAUAAGGUAAUUGUAAAUGAUAAGUCACCUAUUAUCUAUUAGAGUUCAGAAUGACUCAAAAGUUAAAGUGAUUCAUGUGUUUUGCUGAUGGAUAAGAAAGAUGUUUUGAAAAAUAGGAAAUAGGCUCUUUCCUAGAAUACCUAUAAUAUACUUAAACAUGUAAUGCACAUACAUAAUGUAUAUCAUUAUGAGAUGAAUUGUGUCUCACAAAAUUCAUAACUUAAAGCUGUAACCCGCAGUACUUUGAAUGUGACUGUAUUCAGAGAAAGAACGUUCACAGAGGUGAGUUACUAUGAGGGUGUAGGGUGGGCCCUAAUUCAGACUAGUGUUCUUAUAGAGGAGAGUGUGCACAGAGGAGAGAUCAUGUGAGGACACAGCGAGAAGACAAUCAUCUGUAAGCCAAGGAGAGAGGCCUCAGAAAAAAAUCCACCCUGCUAAGAGCUUGAUCUUGGACUUACAGCCUCCAGGACUAACAAGAACCUGAGACCUGCCGAACAGCAGGUGCCAAAGAUGCUGCUGUAACACCACAGCCCUCCCAUCUUCCAUCCUCCACUGGCGCUGAGUGGCAGUCCCAUGUGACAGGAAGUGGAGGCAGAGCUGGGCCAGCCCAGGAGCCACGUGCUGGAGCCAGAUACUCUGUUUUUCUACAAAUGGAAAGUUUGUGGCAUCCUUGACUCAAGCAAAUUUUUCAGCACCAUUUUUCAAGAGCGUGUGCUCACUUCACCUCUCUGUAUCGUGUUUUGAUGCUUGUCCUGGAAACCAACCAUGAGCUGUGAUGAAAUCCAGGCAACUGAGUUGUGUUUCAGCCCAAAGCAGCAAAUGGAAUCCAGCUUCAGGACCAUCAUCUGACAUAGGGGAAGAAGACUUACAUAGAAGGCCUAACCAGCACCCAAGAUCAUGCUCAUAGGUGGAGGAGACUUGCUUUGUCUCAGAUGAGACUUUGGACUGUGGACUUUUGAGUUAAUGCUGAAAUGAGUUGAGACUUUGGGGAACUGUUGGGAAGGCAUGAUUGGUUUUAAAUAUGAAUAUAUGAGAUUUGGGAGGGGGUCAGGGGUGGAAUGAUAUGGUUUGGCUCUGUGUCCCCACCCAAAUCUCAUCUUGUAGCUCCCAUAAUCCUCCCAUGUUGUGGGAGGGACCCAGUGGGAGAUGAUUGAAUCAUGAGGGCGGGUCUUUCUCAUGCUGUUCAUGAUCCCAUUCAUGUGAGAAAGACCCAUGUGAUCAUGAAUGGGUCUCACAAGAUCUGAUGGUGUUAAAAAUGGGAGUUUCUCUGCACAAGCUCUCUGCCUGCUGCCAUUCACAAAGGAUGUGACUUGCUUCUCCUUGCCUUCUGCUAUGAUUGUGAGGCCUCCCUAGCCAUGUGGAACUGUGAGUCCAAUUAAACCUCUUUCUUUUGUAAAUU
rnacentral:lncRNA from 1 species